GACGAACGCUGGCGGCGUGCCUAAUACAUGCAAGUCGAACGCACUCUCGUUUAGAUUGAAGGAGCUUGCUCCUGAUUGAUAAACAUUUGAGUGAGUGGCGGACGGGUGAGUAACACGUGGGUAACCUGCCCUAAAGUGGGGGAUAACAUUUGGAAACGGAUGCUAAUACCGCAUAAAACCUAACACCGCAUGGUGUAGGGUUGAAAGAUGGUUCCGGCUAUCACUUUAGGAUGGACCCGCGGUGCAUUAGUUAGUUGGUGAGGUAAAGGCUCACCAAGACCGUGAUGCAUAGCCGACCUGAGAGGGUAAUCGGCCACACUGGGACUGAGACACGGCCCAGACUCCUACGGGAGGCAGCAGUAGGGAAUCUUCCACAAUGGACGAAAGUCUGAUGGAGCAACGCCGCGUGAGUGAAGAAGGUUUUCGGAUCGUAAAACUCUGUUGUUGAGAAGAAUGUAUCUGAUAGUAACUGAU
rnacentral:rRNA from 1 species